rnacentral:misc_RNA from 1 species
CACGCUUGAAAGUAUCUAUUUGUUCGCAUUCAUCUCCUUUCCUGAAACAACCAAUGAUGCACUGUGGUUUAUUCCAGCUGCUAGUUUGGCUAGUCACUCUCAUAUCCAUCAUCUUCCUUAUUUUUUUUCAAGAUCAUCAUCAUCAUCAUCCUGAUUAUCUUCAUCCUCUUCCUAAAUUUCCUCCUGCUUUUUCUUGUCUCCAACAAUUCCAUACUCACUGAAAAUGACACUGCCAGAACACAAUCCCUCCUCAACCUUGAUGAGUUGUAGAGUCAUUCUGGGUCCAAUUUCCUGAAGCUUGACAGCACUUUUUGUAGAAGCCCUAUUAACUCUACCAAGAUCACUAGCCAGAGUCACUGUUGCUGCUUCAUCAUCUGCUUCACUUUCUGAUCCAUACCCAGCCUUAGUAACAAAGUCACUCACGUCUUGGAGACUCCUAAGAUCAGGGACUUGGUGUUUUUGUACAAACUUUCUGAUUCUACGGGAGACACCCACAGGUUGGAGUCUGAUGGAAUAAUGCCGAAAAUCAAUAAGCUUUGUAUCCUUGUUAUAAUUCAUUAACACAACUCUCUGGCAACAGGCAAGUUUGACAGUGUUAAUAUCAAUAGCUGGAAAGAUGUUCUGAAACAUUAUAGUUGUGAGCUUCAGAUGCUGUUCUCCUGACCCAAAACCAGAAAGAACAAUCAAUGGAGGAUUUUUGAAAAGAUCUUGAGGGCAUCUAGGGCGCAAUUGAGACUGCGCAACAUCUUGUGCUGUUGAAUACUCGUGUAUCUUAAAUUUAAGAGUUGGGCCUUGAGGGGUCCUUGCAACUGUCAGAUAGGGUGCAAUUUCAGUUUUUGACAAUAUAAGGAAAUGGGUGACACCCAUAGGCCCUGAAACAUUCAAAAAGUCCCUGAGGUUAUUUCGUUUCUUCUCCUUAAGAUUGAGAGCUGUAUAGGGAAGCAUCAACUUUCUUAGGUCCAUCUGAAGUUGCUUUAGAGGACCAGGCAACUUCCCUCUCGAAAACACAAAGCUCUUUGGGAUCUUAUCACCUGUGACAUGAUCUACAUUGCCCUGAUUCUUUUUCACAACUGACUUCACAGAGAUCUUCCUCUUCUUCU